rnacentral:rRNA from 1 species
CACGUAGGGCGCAAGCGUUGUCCGGAAUUAUUGGGCGUAAAGAGCUCGUAGGUGGUUUGUUACGUCUGCUGUGAAAACCUAGGGCUUAACCCUGGGCUUGCAGUGGAUACGGGCAGACUAGAGUGCGGUAGGGGUGACUGGAAUUCCUGGUGUAGCGGUGGAAUGCGCAGAUAUCAGGAGGAACACCGAUGGCGAAGGCAGGUCACUGGGCCGCAACUGACGCUGAGGAGCGAAAGCAUGGGGAGCGAACAGG